GAGCUCGUAGGCGGUUUGUCGCGUCUGCUGUGAAAUCCGGAGGCUCAACCUCCGGCCUGCAGUGGGUACGGGCAGACUAGAGUGCGGUAGGGGAGAUUGGAAUUCCUGGUGUAGCGGUGGAAUGCGCAGAUAUCAGGAGGAACACCGAUGGCGAAGGCAGAUCUCUGGGCCGUAACUGACGCUGAGGAGCGAAAGGGUGGGGAGCAAACAGGCUUAGAUACCCUGGUAGUCCACCCCGUAAACGUUGGGAACUAGUUGUGGGGUCCAUUCCACGGAUUCCGUGACGCAGCUAACGCAUUAAGUUCCCCGCCUGGGGAGUACGGCCGCAAGGCUAAAACUCAAAGGAAUUGACGGGGACCCGCACAAGCGGCGGAGCAUGCGGAUUAAUUCGAUGCAACGCGAAGAACCUUACCAAGGCUUGACAUAUACGAGAACGGGCCAGAAAUGGUCAACUCUUUGGACACUCGUAAACAGGUGGUGCAUGGUUGUCGUCAGCUCGUGUCGUGAGAUGUUGGGUUAAGUCCCGCAACGAGCGCAACCCUCGUUCUAUGUUGCCAGCACGUAAUGGUGGGAACUCAUGGGAUACUGCCGGGGUCAACUCGGAGGAAGGUGGGGAUGACGUCAAAUCAUCAUGCCCCUUAUGUCUUGGGCUUCACGCAUGCUACAAUGGCCGGUACAAAGGGCUGCAAUACCGCGAGGUGGAGCGAAUCCCAAAAAGCCGGUCCCAGUUCGGAUUGAGGUCUGCAACUCGACCUCAUGAAGUCGGAGUCGCUAGUAAUCGCAGAUCAGCAACGCUGCGGUGAAUACGUUCCCGGGUCUUGUACACACCGCCCGUCAAGUCAUGAAAGUCGGUAACACCUGAAGCCGGUGGCCUAACCCUUGUGGAGGGAGCCGUCGAAAGUGGGAUCGGUAAUUAGGACGAAGUCGUA
rnacentral:rRNA from 1 species